UGCAGUUCUGUGAGGUCCUGUCGGCCCCCGAGGUGAGCCGCUGGGCGGGCCCCAUCAUCGACGUGCUCCUGGACUACGUGGGCAACGUGCAGCUCUGCGCACGGCUCAAGGAGCACAUCGACAGCUUCGACGACUGGGCCGUCAUCAAGGAGAAGGCAGAACCUCCAAGACCUCUGGCUCACCUCUGCCGGCUGCGGGUUCGAAAGGCCCUUGGGAAGUCCCGCAUAACGCUCCUAGACACGCUGCCUCUCCCGGGCCGGCUGAUCCGAUACCUGAAGUAUGAGAACACCCAGUAGCCGGGCCGUGGGGCGAGCAGUGGCCCCCGGACGUUCCCACUGCAUCUCCGGACGGUGGCGUCCCUGACUCCGAGGCACCUGGUGGCAGACGGGGUGGUGCCCGCCUCCCUCCUGGCCGGGGCAGCUGGGAGGGCCGGGCCAGGUCUUGGGCCGAGCUCAGGCGUCACAUGGACGGUUUGCUUUCACACUGGCGGGCAGACCCCGGGUGGUCCGGGAGGGUGGGCUCCGAGCUCCGUGCCCCUCCCUGUGCUCUGUGAACCUCCCGCUCCAGGUGCAGGGCGGUGGAGGGGCCCCCGGGCCCCUGGGGGCUCCGUGAAGCACAAUAAAGGUUACACAUGGACGCCCUCUCA